rnacentral:rRNA from 1 species
UCGAUUGAGUUUGAUCAUGGCUCAGGAUAAACGCUCGCGGCGUGCAUCAAACAUGCAAGUCGAACGUCCCCGCAAGGGGGAGUGGCGUACGGCUGAGGAACACGUCGGUAACCUGUCCUACAAUGGGGAAUACCCCAGCGAAAGCUGGAAUAAUACCGCGUACGCUGCCCGGUGGCAUCACCAGGCAGGAAAGCCGCAAGGCGUUGUAGGAGGGGCCGGCGGGCGAUUAGCUUGUUGGUGGGGUAACGGCCUACCAAGGCGAUGAUCGCUAGCGGGUCUGAGAGGAUGAUCCGCCAGACUGGGACGGAGGACGGCCCAGACACCUACGGGUGGCAGCAGUUAGGAAUUUUGCGCAAUGGGGGAAACCCUGACGCAGCAACGCCGCGUGGAGGACGAAGCCCUGUGGGGUGUAAACUCCUUUUCGGUGGGAAGAUAAUGACGGUACCACCGGAAGAAGCCUCGGCUAACUACGUGCCAGCAGCCGCGGUAAUACGUAGGAGGCAAGCGUUGUCCGGAUUUAUUGGGCGUAAAGCGUGUGUAGGCGGUUUGGUAAGCGUGACGUGAAAGCUCCUGGCUUAACUGGGAGAGGCCGUCACGAACUGCCAGACUUGAGGGUCGGCGAGGGAGAUGGAAUUCCAGGUGGAGUGGUGGAAUGCGUAGAUAUCUGGAGGAACACCAGUGGCGAAAGCGAUCUCCUGGACGACACCUGACGCUGAGGCACGAAAGCGUGGGGAGCGAACUGAAUUAGAUACUCAGG